UUAGGGAACAUGAAAUGCAGUGAUAUUGACGCAGUUUAUUCGCUCUUCAUUGCGGCGCUGGUUGCAUAUAUUAUCCUCACUGUGACUUCCUUCACUGCAUCCAUCUUUGGCUGUCUGGGUACUUGCUGCGCUCCUGUUGUGAGUAUAUGCCUUUUGUGCUAUGAUUAACAGUUAGGAACCGUUCAUUAUUUAUGGGAGGGGGGGUGGGCAUGGGUGAGAAACUGGGGGGCCUGAGACUUUUCCAGAUGAAAAAAGGGGAGACUGCAAUUCUGGUAAACCAAAUCCUGGGGGACCUGAAAUUGAAGGAAGACACAUAACUUGCACAUACACACCCAGCCCCAAAACAUGGCUUGCUGAUUUUUCUUAUUUAUACUUAAUAUCAUUUUAUUGCUUUUAGGGGUAAUUUAGGUGGAUGUAGUCGAUUCAAUUCUACAGAGAACGAAACAUUUCCGUACUUUUAUUCAUUAGUAUUAACAAGCUAUGACAUGGUCAAACUUAGAAAUGGUUUGUCUUAAGUGUAAACGUUUUAGUCAAGUCAAGUUUUAUGUAUCUUCGUUUAUGAAAUAUUAAACAAUAAACUUCUAUACUCUUUUAUUGUGGAUUUAAUAUUGUUUUUAAAAUGAAUUUAAAAAACUCGUUAAAGGCACAGUUCAGCUUUUUGAGUGAUGGUUUUUAAGGCGCGUUUGAAAUUCAAGGUUUUUGUGACAUCUGUCUCAAGACAUUUUAAACUGAUUGUAGUCCAAUAUAACGACCAGCUGAAAGACGCAUGAUCAACUAUUCUCACCCACCCAAACUGACGUUUUACUUGACAUAAGUUUUUAAUGGAAACGUUAUAAUUUUUCGUAAUAAUAGCGACAAACAAUCAGUUUGUUUAAAGAUUAUGUUCAAUGUAGAAUUAAUAUGUGAGUAGGCAACUGCCAAGUAACUGCAGGUGGUAUAUUUCUUGAAAUUUGAGAACCUAACUUUUUGCCUUGAAAUUUGAGAACCUUUAGCAAUUCAAAUUUUGACAAAAUUAAAUGUGCCAAAACCAAUUGAGCAGAAUGACUUCUAGAAAGAGGUGGAAAUAUGACACAAUUCUUUUCGUUAAAUUUCAGAGAAAGUUAAUGUGCAAUUGACGGUAGGGCUAAUAAACUUCUAAUUAACAUGAAGUAAUGGCAAACAAACAACAGAAAUCGCGGUCUCAGUAAUCGAAAUUUCCAAGAUGGCGCUGGAAGUUGAAAGUGCGGAGUAAGUUUUUGUAGAUUAUAAAGUAAUUUAUUUUCCUUUCUGUGUAGGUUUUUUUUACAAAACUUACUCGAUUGUCUUGCUGUAUCUUUCUAGUGUCGUUGGGUUAAUUGAAUAAUACUUGAAAGAGAAUAAUCUGCCAAGAACUUUGGCUGUUUUGCAGGUAAGGUGAUUGAAAAAUAUUUGGAAUAAUUGACCUUACCGAUUAUUCUCUUUUACCCAAUGGCUCGUUUCCAUUAUAUUCCCAUGUUUUCCUGGACGAAGUUGUUUCUUGCUGUGUUUAGGCUCGAUAACAAAGUAAUUUUCAACCUACUAAGGGGGAGCAUCCAUACUCAAGUCAGGGUUGGCAAAUGUUCUUAUAUUAGUUGUUCUUGUAUGUUCUUAUAUUAUAUAAGAAUAUUUUUUGGGAGGCAAAAAUGUUCUUAUAUUUUCUUAUAUUAUUCUCAUUAAUUAUUCUACUUCGAAGUAGUAAAAUGUAAAUUUUAACUAUUUAAUUGACAUUCAUCCUGAAAAUAAAAUAUACAGAUAAUACAGUAGUCGUAUAAAUACUGCAGUGAUAACUAUUUUUAUAAUUUUGAAAGCCAAGACGUUACAGCAACAUCUAAAAUUGAAGUUGAAUCGUCAUUUUAGGAUUUUGGAUGACAUGUUAAUAUGACGUCAUCAAAGUUUUUGAAAAUGUUCUUAUAUUGCAAAAAAUGUUCUUAUAUUAAUAUAAGAAAUAAGAACAUUUUAUUUUUGAAAAAAUGUUCUUAUAUCCAACCCUGACUCAAGUACUCAACUUGCCACGAGAAACGUCAAUUUGACGUUUGUGGGUGUGUGCGUUAUUUUCUUUGACGUUUUGCCUGUGGCAGUUUGACACUUUAGAAUAUUAUAAAAGUACAAUAUAAAAUUCUUUUGUAUAAUAUAAAAUUCUAUUUGUAAUAUGUACUUUAAAAACACAAACCUGUGCAAUAUUUUCCCUUGUCAAUGGAAAAAAACAAACUUUCUUACUUCGCCAAGCGGUAAAUCAAGGCUUUAUAUUUAUUUGUUAUGUUUGUAUAUUGUUCGCUAUAGUCUCUAUUCAAAAGUACUUUAUGAGAUAUAUAGGACGAUAUGGAAGUUAAUACAAGUAUUUUCGAGUAUUCACACUUGUUUUUUUCUUGCCAUGGAUUGACGUUUCUAGGGUGGGUGGGUGGGUGGGUAUGAAAAAGAAACAUCAAAUUGACGUUUCUCGUGGCAAGUUGAGUAUGGAUGCUCCCCCUAAGCACAAAACAUGAGUAAGUAUUUGACACGAAAACGAGGGUUAUGAGGCCAUUGGGUGAAAAGUGAAUAAACGGUAAGGUCUAUUGAAUUAAUAUAUUAACCAUGUAGGGGAAUUUUAAAUUUUGCCACACCCAAGUAAUUACUGAAUAUAUGCAAGUCUAUUACUAGUAAACUAUUAAUGCUGUCAAAUACAUCAUACAUGUUCACGUUUUGUAGGCAGUAUUUUAAAGACAGGCAAAUUCUUUCGAAAAGCUCUGAAGAUUGGCCGUCAUGGCCAAGGGCCAAAGAGAACUUUGUUUUGCUUUCACUGUUGAUUUUUUGAGUUGAUUCGUUUUGGAUUUUCUUGAUUAAUUUUGUUGGGUGAUUGUGAGUUUGUGACUACCACGGUUCGCUGCAAGGCCAUUAUGAAAAAAGUUUAUAAGUGGCCUAUAGGUGCUUAUAGGAAAUGUUCCAGGGAACCGUUAUAGGAAGCCUUUAGGCAUCAAUAGAGCUCUAUAGGCUUGCUUAUUGACAUCCCUAUAGGUCAACUAUAGAAAAUGUUCCAAUUGCCUAUAAAAACCUAUAGGUUUCGUAUACAGUAUAGGUUUGCCUAUAGGCCAGGCCUAUUGCCAAGGAAUUGGAAAAUGUAAACAUUAGUUAAUGGUUUGUUGUUUUUCUUACAGGCAUGGCCAAAGAGAAGUACUUAGUAAAGUACAAGGAAUAGCCACAAUAGCCCAAGGUAUUGCCUUAGAAAGUUAUUAGGAAAUUAAUUGGUAGAAGCCGAUAAUCGGCAACUUUCAUGGAGAUCGGUUAACUAUCGACCAAUCACAUUGACAUAUAUUGGCAUGUAUCGGCCGUCCAAUAAAUAGAAUUCUGGGGCCAGUUGUAUAAAACCUUUGCCUACUUUUAACUAUCCAUUUUGUAGUUAAUUUGUAGUUAACUUUGACAAUGUAGUUAAGUCAGUUGUAUAGGAAUGUAGAAAGUGUUAACUGCAGUUAAAAAGUAGCUAAAGUUAAGUAGUUAAAGGGUAUGGGC
rnacentral:lncRNA from 1 species